ACACCUUGCGGGCUAGCUUGAAAAAAUUGAAAUUAUUGCAUUAGGCGCUGCAACUGAUUAGGUCAUAUGGCACCGCUAGGGUUGACAGGAGAACGCUGUAUCUCCUACAGGGCAACUAGGUUUGGCGAGGAUUCAAACACGAGCCGCCUUAGCCAACUACGACACCCAGCCAGUCAAGGAGGUGGGAGAGACUUGCUGGAUGAGGCGUUGGACCAGUUCACUGUGAAAGAAAUCAGUCACCAAUGGGAAUUAUAGUAUGGCAUGACAAGGACCCAAACUCAGGCUGCCGCCCUACCUAAUGAGCGUCAUUACACAACUCGCCCUAACCCACCACACCAUUCACCCACCCUCCAACGACUCUAUUAAAUAUUUAGUUAUAUA